rnacentral:rRNA from 1 species
UAGCCUUGACAUACUACAGAAUUUGACAGAGAUGUUGGAGUGCCUUCGGGAGCUGUAAUACAGGUGCUGCACGGCUGUCGUCAGCUCGUGUCGUGAGAUGUUGGGUUAAGUCCCGCAACGAGCGCAACCCUCGUCCUUAGUUACUAACGGUUCGGCCGAGGACUCUAAGGAGACUGCCUUCGUAAGGAGGAGGAAGGUGAGGACGACGUCAAGUCAUCAUGGCCCUUACGGCUAGGGCAACACACGUGCUACAAUGGUUAGGACAAUGAGAAGCGAUACCGCGAGGUGGAGCAAAUCUAUAAACCUAAUCUCAGUUCGGAUAGCAGUCUGCAACUCGACUGCUUGAAGCUGGAAUCACUAGUAAUCGUAAAUCAGCUAUGUUACGGUGAAUACGUUCCCGGAUCU